UGAACGAUGAGGAGAAGGAGUAGUAGCAAGCUCUGCUUGGCUUAAGAGAGACGGCAUUUUGGUGCAAGCCGUCCCGGCAUCUUGUGAACUCGCCUUCAUAAUUGCAAAAGGGAACUACCAGUACUUUUUGCCGUUUUCCGCGUUAAGGAAUGUCGAGCGAGCGCAUUUGCGCUAAAGUUGGGUGGUACCGCGGGAGAAGUCUCUCGUCCCAUUA
rnacentral:ncRNA from 1 species